GGGUUGAUAGGCCAGAUGUGGAAGCCCGGUAACGGGUGGAGCUGACUGGUACUAAUAGGCCGAGGGCUUGUCCUCAGUUG
rnacentral:rRNA from 1 species